GCACAAGCGGUGGAGCAUGUGGUUUAAUUCGAUGAUACGCGAGGAACCUUACCUGGGCUUAAAUGUAGAGUGCAUUUUUUUAGAGAUAGAAAUUCCCUUCGGGGCUUUCUGCAAGGUGCUGCAUGGUUGUCGUCAGCUCGUGCCGUGAGGUGUCGGGUUAAGUCCCAUAACGAGCGCAACCCUUAUCGUUAGUUGCCAUCUGGUAAUGCAGGGGACUCUAGCGAAACUGCCACCGUAAGGUGAGAGGAAGUGGGGAUGACGUCAAAUCAGCACGGCCCUUAUGUCCAGGGCUACACACGUGUUACAAUGGUCGGUACAGAGGGCAGCUACCUGGUGACAGGAUGCUAAUCUCGAAAACCGGUCUCAGUUCGGAUCGAAGUCUGCAACUCGACUUCGUGAAGCUGGAUUCGCUAGUAAUCGCGCAUCAGCUAUGGCGCGGUGAAUACGUUCCCGGGCCUU
rnacentral:rRNA from 1 species